rnacentral:tRNA from 1 species
GAGAAGGGUUAUGAAACCCAGAGACUGCUAAUUAUCUGAGCCUGAAGUUGAAAUCUUUAGUCUUCUUA